rnacentral:rRNA from 1 species
UACGAAGGGUGCAAACGUUGCUCGGAAUCAUUGGGCGUAAAGCGCACGUAGGCGGCUUGCCAAGUCGGACGUGAAAUCCCUCAGCUCGACUGAGGACGUGCAUCCGAAACUGGCGAGCUUGAGUACUGAAGAGGAUCGCGGAAUUCCCGGUGUAGAGGUGAAAUUCGUAGAUAUCAGGAGGAACACCGGUGGCGAAGGCGGUUCUCUGGGCCUUACCUGACACUGAGGAGCGAAAGCGUGGGGAGCGAACAGG